GAUUCUUAUUUUAAUUGUAUUUUAUUGUAGUAAGCAAUAAGACUUCAAAAUCAAAAAUUCAGUCAGACCUGAUUCUGGUUUGGUUCAGUGUCUCCAUGCUGGCAUGUCGGUCGUCCACCUCUCUGACAAGCUGCAGGUUCCUCUGAUCAGCCAGAUCCAGGGGGGAGAGAACUUCAAUCACUGGAGAUGAAAAGUUACAGUUGUUUCCUUGAACACAAUCAGCCAAAUACUCAUAAAAGACAUACAGGUACACACCCCUUCCAGCAGGGGGCGCUCUGGCGGUAUGGAAUACAACACAGGACCAGGCUGAAACUAUGUGACAACUCUGUACCCUCACAGAAUUACUCUGAAUUUAUGUGCUCCUAGGUUGGUCCCAAUUCAAAAGUUGAAGAAAUAUAGAUGCUACAAAGGUAAUGAGUUUAAUUAUAAUUAUUACCUAGACCUAAUAUAUGCCCCUCCAUUUUGACAGGGACAAACCAUUACAGCCUAUUAAGUUAUUGCAGAUACAAAUGUGCUGAAAAAUGACAUGCAAUACAUGACUUAAUACAACAACAAAAAAAAAGACUUAGUUUCAGUUUUUGCCGAUAUUUAGUUGGGACAGGGGACAGAGUAGGA